rnacentral:rRNA from 1 species
CAAUAGCGUAUAUUAAAGUUGUUGCAGUUAAAAAGCUCGUAGUUGGAUUUCUGAUCGAGACAUCAGGUCGGGUCCGAGAGGAUCAUGUACUUUGAUUUUGUUUUGAUCAUCCUUGGGGAGAGCAUUUCUGGCAUUCAGUUGUCGGGAUUGGGAUCCUCAUCGUUUACUGUGAAAAAAUUAGAGUGUUCAAAGCAGGCCUCAGCCUCUGAAUACAUUAGCAUGGAAUAAUAAGAUAGGACUUUGGUGGUCUAUUUUGUUGGUUUGCACGCCAAAGUAAUGAUUAAUAGGGAUAGUUGGGGGUAUUCGUAUUCAAUUGUCAGAGGUGAAAUUCUUGGAUUUAUGGAAGACGAACUACUGCGAAAGCAUUUACCAAGGAUGUUUUCAUUAA